AUGCAGCUAGUCAGAGAUGGCCAGACUACGAUUAACAUUAAUGGAGAGAUUGGCUCUUUCUUUAGAAAUGCUGGAGGUGUGAGGUAGGCGAACCCGGAUUUCCCCCUCCUCUUAAAUUUUGUGGAAGAUGCCCUUACUGCCAUGCUUGAUGGGGGAAAAGUUGUUAGGCAUAUUGUGGGUGUCGCUUCGAGGUUGGUCGCGGGAGGGUUAACCAUUAUGCAAUAUGCAGAUGAUACCCUCAUACUAAUAAAGAAUAACCCUAUGGCCAUUGUGAGUCUUAAGUUCCUACUUGUGUGUUUUGAAUCCAUGUUGGGUCUAAAAGUCAAUUUUGAGAAAAGCAAGGCUAUUGUUAUAGGGGGGGGGGGUCUUGAGAGCCAAUUAAGGGCGGACCAUAUGAUGAAUUAUAAGUUGGGGGCUUGUCCCCUUACAUAUCUUCAUCUCCUAUUGAGGAUAGAGAGUUCACUAUUGCGAGUAUGGAUUCGGUGGUUGAAAAUGUCAUGGUGA
rnacentral:rRNA from 1 species